rnacentral:lncRNA from 1 species
AUGUCAUCCUCUCCAGCAGCGGGAGGCUCCUCCAGCAGCGUGCUCGGGUCCCCACCGAGCUUCCCCCUCUGCCACUACGUGAGUGCAGGUGUGUGCGGAGCCGAGCCGGGCUGGAGCUGCGCUGCGCUCGGCUGGGCUGGGUUGGGCAGGGCUGGGCUGGGCUGGGCUGGGCUGGGCUGUGCCGGCUGCUCCAGGCUGCGCUGGACUGUUGGGCUGGGCUGGGCUGAGCCGGGCUGCGGGCAGCGGCGAGGACCCCCCACUCCCCAGCCAGCCAGCCCGCGGUUAUGCGCCCCCGGGCUCCGCUCCGAGAGCCCCCCACUGCCAGGCUGGCCGGCCGGGCAGCCGCUUCAGGGUCGUGGGGCUGGGGCCGCGCCCCCGCCAGCUGAUCGGAGCCCCUGGAUGUGUCUGUCCGUGGAGGAGGCCGCUGCUGCUGGCGCUGCGCUGGAGGUCCGAGAGGGAGCCCGCGGGCUUGGAAGGCAGCGGGCCGCUGCGCGCUUGGGAAUCCGCCUGGGGCCCAGAUUACUGAGGAGCUGCACGGGGCCCGGCGGCGGCGGCGGCGGCAGCGGCGGCCGCGGCCGCUCCAAUUCCGGACUUGUAUUUUUAAACGCCUCCGAGGAGACCGAAAGCGCAGCCCUGACCCUCUGCAGCCUUAGAAUGAGGUAUAUGUAAUUAUGCCUAAGGGGUCCUGUCUAGAGCAACUCAGCAAUGUCAAGCCCUGGCAGCUGGAACGGAGUGAGCUCCAUGGAAAACCAACAGGUCUAUGUUGAUUGCUACAAGAAAGUUAGAAAGCUUUUGGGAGGAAGUGUCAAAAACUAGAACUUUUUGUCUGAUGCUGAGUGAAGUGAGUAGAACCAGAAGAAUGUUCUACACAAUAACAGCCACGUUGUACAAUGACUAAUAUUGAUAGACUUAACUCUUCUCAGCAAUAUAAGGAUAUAAGACAUCUCCAAAGGCCUCAUGAUGGAAAAUGCUAUCUACAUCCAAAGAACUAUGGACUUGGAAUGCAGAUCAAAGUGUACUAUCUGCUACUAUUUUUUCUUCUGUUGUGUUUUGUUUCCUCUUUCCAGUGGUUCCUCCUA